rnacentral:rRNA from 1 species
UACAGAGGUCUCGAGCGUUAGGCGGAAUCACUGGGCUUAAAGCGUGUGUAGGCGGAUCGGUAAGUACCUUGUGAAAUCCCACAGCUUAACUGUGGAACUGCUCGGUAUACUGCCAGUCUUGAGCCAGGCUAGGGGCUACCGGAACAAAUGGUGGAGCGGUGAAAUGCGUAGAUAAUCAUUUGGAACGCCAAUGGUGAAAACAGGUAGCUGGGGCUGUGCUGACGCUGAGACACGAAAGCCAGGGGAGCAAACGGG